rnacentral:rRNA from 1 species
GACGAACGCUGGCGGCGUGCUUAACACAUGCAAGUCGAACGGGAUGAUUUAGACGCUUGCUUUUAGAGAAUCUAGUGGCAAACGGGUGAGUAACACGUAGGCAACCUGCCGACAGGAUGGGGACAACAUUCCGAAAGGAAUGCUAAUACCGAAUGAAGCGCAGGAGAGGCAUCUCUCCUGCGUGAAAGAUGGCCUCUAUUUAUAAGCUAUCACCUGUCGAUGGGCCUGCGUCUGAUUAGCUGGUUGGUGAGGUAACGGCUCACCAAGGCGACGAUCAGUAGCCGGUCUGAGAGGAUGAACGGCCACAUUGGGACUGAGACACGGCCCAGACUCCUACGGGAGGCAGCAGUGGGGAAUCUUCCGCAAUGGGCGCAAGCCUGACGGAGCAACGCCGCGUGAGUGAAGAAGGUCUUCGGAUCGUAAAGCUCUGUUGAUGGGGACGAACGUGCGAAGGGUGAAUAAACCUUUGUAAUGACGGUACCUGUCGAGGAAGCCACGGCUAACUACGUG